GAGGCUUGGAGCGGUGGCCUUCCGCAGCUGAGCUGGGCCGCGGGGACCUGGCGCCAUCCCUGAGCCGCUGCGUGGGGACCCUGCACGGGAUGAGGGCCUGUGUGACAUCAUAAACGAGGGCGCCAGCCGGUGCCAGCCCGUGCCAGACUUGAAUGCUGCUCUGGUGAGCCAGGCGGCCUGGACCCUCCUCGCUUCCGAGACUGACGCCUGAGCCAAGCGUGCAAGACGGUGCCAGGCCUGGUCUGCAAGAUCCAAGGAGACCCCGCGUCGCACCCACCCACGGGGCGAAUGUCAAAAAGCACGACAACCCCGCGCACGGGAGAAGAUGUAGGGACGUGGAACCGGGCCUUUGAAGAGCAAUCAAUCAGCGUCCCCCGGCAGCCCAGCGGUC
rnacentral:lncRNA from 1 species